rnacentral:rRNA from 1 species
AUUAAAACGCUGGCGGCAUGCCUUACACAUGCAAGUCGAACGGCAGCACGGGGGCAACCCUGGUGGCGAGUGGCGAACGGGUGAGUAAAGCAUCGGAACGUGCCCUGGAGUGGGGGAUAACGUAGCGAAAGUUACGCUAAUACCGCAUAUUCUGUGAGCAGGAAAGCAGGGGAUCGCAAGACCUUGCGCUCUGGGAGCGGCCGAUGUCGGAUUAGCUAGUUGGUGGGGUAAAGGCCUACCAAGGCGACGAUCGGUAGCUGGUCUGAGAGGAUGAUCAGCCACACUGGGACUGAGACACGGCCCAGACUCCUACGGGAGGCAGCAGUGGGGAAUUUUGGACAAUGGGCGAAAGCCUGAUCCAGCCAUGCCGCGUGCGGGGAAGAAGGCCUUCGGGUUGUAAACCGCUUUAGUCCGGGAAAAGGGGUGGCGAGGAUAAUACCCUCGUGCUUUGAUGGUACUGGAAGAAUAAGCACCGGCUAACUACGUGCCAGCAGCCGCGGUAAAUACG